UUUGCCAACAUCUCUUUUGAUGAAAGCUCCACACAGGAGGGAACUGUGGGCAUUGACUCAGCUGCCCUCACAUGCAAAGUCAAGCAGGCAAACCAGAAGCAAUGCUGUGUUUGCGGUGAGAGGGGGGCUGCCAUCACAUGUGCAGAGAGCGGCUGUGAGCGGAGCUUUCAUCUGCCCUGUGCCAAGGAUGGACAAUGCGUCACCCAGUUCUUUGGUUGGCAAAGGUCCUUCUGCUGGGAGCAUCGCCCUCGACAGACCGCAGUGACAGCUCCAGCAAGAGGCACCACCUGCGUCUUGUGCCGGCAGACCGUGGGGAACGUUGCAUCCUACCACACCCUGGUGUGCCCAGUGUGCAAACAUGCCUGGUUCCACCGGGCCUGCGUCCAGCAACAGGCCUUGAAUGAAGGCAUUGCGUGCUUCCGGUGCCCUGCCUGCC